GAAAAGGAUUUUGUAAAAUCCAACAUCAUUCCUUAAUAAAAACUUU
rfam:Ailuropoda melanoleuca scaffold222_123, whole genome shotgun sequence.